AGAGUUUGAUCCUGGCUCAGAUUGAACGCUGGCGGCAUGCCUUACACAUGCAAGUCGAACGGCAGCGCGGGGCAACCUGGCGGCGAGUGGCGAACGAGUGAGUAAUAUAUCGGAACGUACCCUGGAGUGGGGGAUAACGUAGCGAAAGUUACGCUAAUACCGCAUACGAUCUAAGGAUGAAAGUGGGGGAUUCGCAAGAACCUCAUGCUCCUGGAGCGGCCGAUAUCUGAUUAGCUAGUUGGUGGGGUAAAGGCCUACCAAGGCAUCGAUCAGUAGCUGGUCUGAGAGGACGACCAGCCACACUGGAACUGAGACACGGUCCAGACUCCUACGGGAGGCAGCAGUGGGGAAUUUUGGACAAUGGGCGAAAGCCUGAUCCAGCAAUGCCGCGUGAGUGAAGAAGGCCUUCGGGUUGUAAAGCUCUUUUGUCAGGGAAGAAACGGUGAGAGCUAAUAUCUCUUGCUAAUGACGGUACCUGAAGAAUAAGCACCGGCUAACUACGUGCCAGCAGCCGCGGUAAUACGUAGGGUGCAAGCGUUAAUCGGAAUUACUGGGCGUAAAGCGUGCGCAGGCGGUUUUGUAAGUCUGUCGUGAAAUCCCCGGGCUCAACCUGGGAAUUGCGAUGGAGACUGCAAGGCUAGAAUCUGGCAGAGGGGGGUAGAAUUCCACGUGUAGCAGUGAAAUGCGUAGAGAUGUGGAGGAACACCGAUGGCGAAGGCAGCCCCCUGGGUCAAGAUUGACGCUCAUGCACGAAAGCGUGGGGAGCAAACAGGAUUAGAUACCCUGGUAGUCC
rnacentral:rRNA from 1 species